UUCCCGGGGUGCCUUUUGGCUGAGAUUGACUUUUGUCUGACCCGCAUUACCUGAUUCGGUUAGUACCGACGUAGGAAGUGA
rnacentral:ncRNA from 1 species